AUAAAUACCACUUGUGAAGAUGACCAUCUCUAUAAUGGGCUUUCACGAAACAUUGUUACAUUCUCAUGAAAUACAGUGUAGUGCCUCAAGAAUUUUGAUGUAAAUUCUAGAAACACUCAGCCUUCAACCGUCUCGAACACCCGAUAUUUUAAGUAUGAGGGUGAGAGAGUGGAGAUUCGUCUACCUUGCCAUCAAUUUCUAUGUGUGCAGGAUGGACGUGUAUCGGGAGAAUAUUGCAAUAGUGACGGUUGAUCGGCAUGGACAAGUGUUUGCAGCGUGUGCCAUAGAAGCUGUAUGUCAGUACAAGUAGCAAGAACGCUCAAUUCCUUGAUGGUCUAAUGACUGUAUUGUUGUGAACAAGUGAAUUAUGUAUUGAACAAAAGACAUUUACAUUUGAUUUUCCGGUGUUGGACUUGCGAGAAGUAAGAACCGGUUUUGUAGUGGUUAUUAAACCAUACAUAUUGUAAUUGUAUCUGUUAGUAUUUAAUGGUCAAAGACGGGGUUCACUUGCGAGAGUUGAAUACUUGUUUGAAACUUGUGAAGUUGUUUUGUUGUGGAGAUGAAAAUGUAACAGAGUUGAACAAAAGUAUCCUGAGAGUACAGAAUCAUUUCAAGAGUAGAAAAGAAGUCUAUUUUGAAAUUCCCUUAACCAGCUAUAGUCUUUGGAGAAGAACAGUUUGUGAAGAUCGAUGCAGCCGCCUGACCCAAGAAGAAGAUCGACUGCACAAAAUAUGUGACUCAACUGCGAGAGACAUGUGAGUCUUACAUCCCAGUACCACACUGUCUCCUGUUGUCAGAAAACUGUUAGAAUGUGGUGACCUAAGUGACGGGAUCCUGAAGAAAGUGGGAAUUUAAAGACAGAAACAGAAAGAAGAUAUUAGGUGUUGCCAUAGGAACCAAGGCUAACAACAUACGAGAACUGUUGCCAGUAAUCGUAUUGAGUCCAAUAAACAAAUGGAAGAAAGUUGCGAGUGCAACACUGUAAAAGAUGUGAGAAAGUAAUAGUGGAGAAAACUGGAGUGAAGACCUCAACUUUUUGACUAAGAUCAGGUGUGGAGAGUAAGCAGUCUUCACACACGUACAUCACGCCAAUGCCGACACAGUAACCAGCCGCCGACACUGACUGCACCAGCUGCAGCUCACUGGUGCUGACUCCGCGUCCGCUCGCUGACGACGACGCUGAAACCAACGUCCAAUGCCACCGGCGCCAGUGCUGUCCUCCGGUGCUGAUUACAUAUCUGCUCACCAACGCAGCUAAAACUCUAUACCAGCGUCACUUACUCGGCGGCCAACAUAUACUGCACAGGCAGGGGCACCAAGAAGGGGAUUGACCUGUACCAUAGGAGGACAGGAAUAAGAAAGGGGCAUACCUACCAAAACGGAAGAAGAAAGGAUACUGCUAGGAUCAACCCAUGUAAAAUAUAGGUACUGUUCCCAAAGGGAAAAAGGGCAGUAUCGUGACAGAUGUCACACUUUUAAAGGGAUGAGUCUGGAUGGGCGUGUAUCAGGAGAAUACUGCAAUAGUGACAGUCGAUCGGUGCGGACAAGUGUUGGCAGUACACGCCAUAGAAGCUGUAUGUCCAGUACAAGGAGCAAGCACACUCUAUUCCUUGAUGGUGUGAACAAAUGAAUUAUGUAUUGAACAAAAGACAUUUACAUUUGAUUUUCUGGUGUUGGACUUGCGAGAAGCAAGAACUGGUUUUGUAGUGGUUAUUAAACCACACAUAUUGUAAUUGUAUUUAUUAGUAUCUAAUGGUCCAAGACAGGGUUGUCUCGCGAGAGUUGAAUGCUUGUGUGAAACUUGUGAAGUUGUUUUAUUGUGGAGAUGAAAAUAUAACAGAGUUGAACAAAAGUAUCUUGAGAGUACAGAAUCAUUUCAAGAGUAGAAAAGAAGUCUAUUUUGAAAUUCCCUUAACCAGCUGUAGUCUUCAGAGAAGAAGAGUUUGUGAAAACUGACGUAGCCGUCUGACCCAAGAAGAAGAUCGACUGCACAAAAUAUGUGAGUCAACUGCGAGAGACGUGUGAGUCUUGCAACCCAAUACCACACUGUCUCCUGUCGUCCAAAAACUGUUAGGAUGCCAAGCUGUACUAGGUGUGCAGUCUUAGGUUGGUAUGACCUGGCGUGAGGCGGUAAAUAUUUCUCCUCAAGGAGCUCUGUAACAUGAUAAUUUUCAUCCUCUUCCUCAUGCAGGACAACCCUGAGCCGAGUUACUUCCUUGUUGGCAACAAGCUGUCGAUUUCGUGCCUGUAGUUCUCUGUUUCCAAAGACUGCCAACUUUUGUGUUUUAACCAAUGCUGUGUUUCAAGUUUUAUUUGCCAUAAUUUUAUAAUGAUCAUCAAUAAUAAGUCUCACAUUAGAGCCAGAUAUCUUUUUAACAUGAUUUCAUGAAAGGCUUUUGCGUCUGUGUUUUAUUUAUGCCACUGGACAUGACUGGAAUGAAGAGGGAAACCUGUGUGUGCAUUUGUGUGUAUCAGCACUUGGCCAUAUGUUAGUGAUUGAUGCUCUGUAUGCUAUGGAGAGACAAGUAGAGGUAAUUACUCUUAGAGUCAAAAACAAUUAAUUAUUUAAGACUUUUUUUUAAAUAGGCAAAAUUUAAAUUGCUUUCAUUUCAUAUUUUGAACAAUAUAAAGAGAAUGACAGUAAGAGCAAUUUAUUUCUUUUCACCUGUUGUGUUGCCUGUGCUUUCCUA